rnacentral:tRNA from 1 species
UAUAUUUUAAUGUAAGAAGCAUGAAAAUUUUUGAAGUUUUUAGGAAUAGUUUAAUUCUAUUAAAUAUAA